rnacentral:rRNA from 1 species
GAUGAACGCUAGCGGCAGGCUUAAUACAUGCAAGUCAAGGGGGUAGCAAUACAACCGGCGCACGGGUGAGUAACGCGUACACAACAUACCAUAUACUGGGGUAUAGCUUUGGGAAACUGAAGGUAAUCCCCCAUAACAUUGCGAGAGGGCAUCUGAUUGCAAUUAAAGUUUCGGCGGUAUAUGAUUGGUGUGCGUUUGAUUAGCUAGUUGGUAGGGUAACGGCCUACCAAGGCGACGAUCAAUAGCUGGCGUGAGAGCGCGACCAGCCACACUGGAACUGAGACACGGUCCAGACUCCUACGGGAGGCAGCAGUAGGGAAUAUUGGACAAUGGAGGGAAACUCUGAUCCAGCCAUGCCGCGUGAUAGAUGAAGGCCCUCUGGGUUGUAAAUAUCUUUUAUCUGGGAAGAACAAUCUUAUUCUUAAGAUCUUGACGGUACCAGAGGAAUAAGCACCGGCUAACUCCGUGCCAGCAGCCGCGGUAAU